AACUGAAAAUGGCAAACCUAUCGAAAGAUAGGGACGCAAAGCCACGAGUCUAAAGUCCUUGUAUAGGAAUAGGAUCGUCGGGCUUCCAGG
rnacentral:ncRNA from 1 species